rnacentral:rRNA from 1 species
CCUACGGGUGGCAGCAGUGAGGAAUAUUGGUCAAUGGACGAGAGUCUGAACCAGCCAAGUAGCGUGAAGGAUGACUGCCCUAUGGGUUGUAAACUUCUUUUAUAUGGGAAUAAAAUGUUCCACGUGUGGGAUUUUGUAUGUACCAUAUGAAUAAGGAUCGGCUAACUCCGUGCCAGCAGCCGCGGUAAUACGGAGGAUCCGAGCGUUAUCCGGAUUUAUUGGGUUUAAAGUGAGCGUAGGUGGAUUGUUAAGUCAGGUGUGAAAGUUUGCGGCUCAACCGUAAAAUUGCAGUUGAAACUGGCAGUCUUGAGUACAGUAGAGGUGAGCGGAAUUCGUGGUGUAGCGGUGAAAUGCUUAGAUAUCACGAAGAACUCCGAUUGCGAAGGCAGUUCACUGGACUGCAACUGACACUGAGGCUCGAAAGUGUGGGUAUCAAACAGGAUUAGAUACCCUGGUAGUC